GUUAGUUGGUGAGGUAACGGCUCACCAAGGCAACGAUGUCUAGGGGUUCUGAGAGGAUUGUCCCCCACACUGGUACUGAGACACGGACCAGACUCCUACGGGAGGCAGCAGUGAGGAAUAUUGGUCAAUGGGCGAGAGCCUGAACCAGCCAUGCCGCGUGCAGGAAGACUGUUCUAUGAAUUGUAAACUGCUUUUCUACAGGAAGAAAUCAUGCUACGUGUAGUGUGUUGCCGGUACUGUAGGAAUAAGCACCGGCUAACUCCGUGCCAGCAGCCGCGGUAAUACGGAGGGUGCAAGCGUUAUCCGGAUUUAUUGGGUUUAAAGGGUGCGUAGGCGGAAUAGUAAGUCAGUGGUGAAAUCCUGCGGCUCAACCGUAGAACUGCCAUUGAUACUGUUAUUCUUGAAUGUAGUUGAGGUAGGCGGAAUGUGUAAUGUAGCGGUGAAAUGCUUAGAUAUUACACAGAACACCGAUUGCGAAGGCAGCUUGCUAAGCUACGAUUGACGCUGAUGCACGAAAGCGUGGGGAGCGAACAGGAUUAGAUACCCUGGUAGUCCACGCUGUAAACUAUGAUCACUCGUUGUUUGCGAUAUACAGUAAGCGACUGAGCGAAAGCAUUAAGUGAUCCACCUGGGGAGUACGUUGGCAACAAUGAAACUCAAAGGAAUUGACGGGGGCCCGCACAAGCGGAGGAACAUGUGGUUUAAUUCGAUGAUACGCGAGGAACCUUACCUGGGUUUAAAUGUAGGUUGCAUAGAGGGGAAACUCUCUUUUCCUUCGGGACUACCUACAAGGUGCUGCAUGGUUGUCGUCAGCUCGUGCCGUGAGGUGUCGGGUUAAGUCCCAUAACGAGCGCAACCCUUAUCGUUAGUUGCCAUCAGGUCAUGCUGGGGACUCUAACGAGACUGCCGGUGUAAACCGUGAGGAAGGUGGGGAUGACGUCAAAUCAGCACGGCCCUUAUAUCCAGGGCUACACACGUGUUACAAUGGUCGGUACAAAGAGCAGCCACU
rnacentral:rRNA from 1 species